rnacentral:rRNA from 1 species
CGUAGGGUGCGAGCGUUAAUCGGAAUUACUGGGCGUAAAGUGUGCGCAGGCGGCUCCGCAAGUCGAGUGUGAAAUCCCCGAGCUUAACUUGGGAAUUGCGCUCGAAACUACGGAACUGGAGUGUGGCAGAGGAAGGUGGAAUUCCACGUGUAGCGGUGAAAUGCGUAGAGAUGUGGAGGAACACCGAUGGCGAAGGCAGCCUUCUGGGCCAACACUGACGUUCAUGCACGAAAGCGUGGGGAGCAAACAGGAUUAGAUACCCUGGUAGUCCACGCCCUAAACGAUGAUGACUAGUUGUUGGAGGAGUUAAAUCCUUUAGUAACGCAGCUAACGCGUGAAGUCAUCCGCCUGGGGAGUACGGUCGCAAGAUUA